AUUGAACGCUGGCGGCAGGCCUAACACAUGCAAGUCGAGCGGAGCGGGCGACGGGUGAGUAAGUCCUGUAAAUCUACCUGGCCGUGGGGGAUGACGUACGGAUACGGACGGUAGUACCGCAUACUCGCAGAUGAGCCUAGGGCGGUUUAGCUAGUUGGUGGGGUAAAGGCCUACCAAGGCGACGAUCCGUACCUGGUCUGAGAGGAUGAUCAGUCACACUGGAACUGAGACACGGUCCAGACUCCUACGGGAGGCAGCAGUGGGGAAUAUUGGACAAUGGGCGAAAGCCUGAUCCAGCCAUGCCGCGUGUGUGAAGAAGGUCUUCGGAUUGUAAAGCACUUUAAGUUGGGAGGCGGUACCAGCAGAAUAAGCACCGGCUAACUACGUGCCAGCAGCCGCGGUAAUUC
rnacentral:rRNA from 1 species